CGAAUCCUCGUAAUUCGUUCACAAAAAGUCAAUUCAACUCAAAAUACACUUUAAUUUAGUUAUUAGAACAACCUUUUGGUUGUUUAAUGUUGAAACAAAAGUACUAGCGAUCAAAUCGAACAAUAGGACGUAAGCGUAAUUUCUUCAUUUUUCCCGACUUUGGUGUAAAAAAGAAAUUUCUUUUUUUUUUUUGUCAAUUUUCAAUGGUGGAAUGAAGAUAAUUUCAUAUGGUUUUAAGUGUAGUUUUAUUUGGAAGUGUAAUUGAAAUAUUCAAAAGAUUAGGGGUUUAACUUGAUUUUCGGUACAAUUAUGAGUAACCGAAUGGAUUGGAGAGAGUGCUCCGAAAUCAAGAUAUCUAAAAACAAUUAUAUGAAACGAACCAGAAUUUCGAUACGAUUAUUAUGACAUCGAAAAAAAUCUGAUCGAAAACAGUUUUUUGUGCAGUUAAAAAUCAGGCCGAAAAGUCGAAUCGUCGUAAUUCGUUCACAAAAAGUCAAUUAAACAAAAAAUACACUUUAAUUUUGUUAUUAGAACAACCUUUUGGUUGUUUAAUGUUGAAACAAAAGUACUAGCGAUCAAAUCGAACAAUAGGACGUAAGCGUAAUUUUUUUCAUUUUUACCGACUUUGGUCGAAAAAAGAAAUUUCAUUUUUUUGGGGUCAAUUUUCAAUGGUGGAAUGAAGAUAAUUUCAUAUGGUUUUAAGUGUAGUUUUAUUUGGAAGUGUAAUUGAAAUAUUCAAAAGAUUAGGGGUUUAACUUGAUUUUCGAUACAAUUAUGAGUAACCGAAUGGAUUGGAGGGAGUGCUCCAAAAUCAAGAUAUCUAAAAACAAUUAUAUGAAACGAACCAGAAUUUCGAUACGAUUAUUAUGACAUCGAAAAAAAUCUGAUCGGAAACAGUUUUUUGUGGAGCUAAAAAUCAGGCCGAAAAGACGAAUCGUUGUAAUUCGUUCACAAAAAGUCAAUUGAACUCAAAAUACACUUUAAUUUUGUUAUUAGAACAACCUUUUGGUUGUUUAAUGUUGAAACAAAAGUACUAGCGAUCAAAUCGAACAAUAGGACGUAAGCGUAAUUUCUUCAUUUUUCCCGACUUUGGUCUAAAAAACAAAUUUCUUUUUUUUUUUUUUUUGUCAAUUUUCAAUGGUGGAAUGAAGAUAAUUUCAUAUGGUUUUAAGUGUAGUUUUAUUUGGAAGUGUAAUUGAAAUAUUCAAAAGAUUAGGGGUUUAACUUGAUUUUCGGUACAAUUAUGAGUAACCGAAUGGAUUGGAGGGAGUGCUCCAAAAUCAAGAUAUCUAAAAACAAUUAUAUGAAACGAACCAGAAUUUCGAUACGAUUAUUAUGACAUCGAAAAAAAUCUGAUCGGAAACAGUUUUUUGUGCAGCUAAAAAUCAGGCCGAAAAGACGAAUCGUCGUAAUUCGUUCACAAAAAGUCAAUUGAACUCAAAAUACACUUUAAUUUAGUUAUUAGAACAACCUUUUGAUUGUUUAAUGUUGAAACAAAAGUACUAGCGAUCAAAUCGAACAGUAGGACGUAAGCGUAAUUUCUUCAUUUUUCCCGACUUUGGUCGAAAAAAGAAAUUUCUUUUUUUUUUGUCAAUUUUUAAUGGUGGAAUGAAGAUAAUUUCA